CCUACGGGCGGCUGCAGUGGGGAAUAUUGGACAAUGGGCGAAAGCCUGAUCCAGCCAUGCCGCGUGUGUGAAGAAGGCCUUCGGGUUGUAAAGCACUUUCAGUGGGGAAGAAAGCCUUGGGGCUAAUACCCUCUAGGAAGGACAUUACCCACAGAAGAAGCACCGGCUAACUCCGUGCCAGCAGCCGCGGUAAUACGGAGGGUGCGAGCGUUAAUCGGAAUUACUGGGCGUAAAGCGCGCGUAGGCGGUCUGAUAAGCCGGUUGUGAAAGCCCCGGGCUCAACCUGGGAACGGCAUCCGGAACUGUCAGGCUAGAGUGCAGGAGAGGAAGGUAGAAUUCCCGGUGUAGCGGUGAAAUGCGUAGAGAUCGGGAGGAAUACCAGUGGCGAAGGCAGCCUUCUGGACUGACACUGACGCUGAUGUGCGAAAGCGUGGGUAGCAAACAGGAUUAGAUACCCUUGUAGUC
rnacentral:rRNA from 1 species